rnacentral:rRNA from 1 species
UGCCAGCCGCCGCGGUAAUACGGAGGGUGCGAGCGUUGUUCGGAAUUACUGGGCGUAAAGCGCGUGUAGGCGGAUGAAGAAGUUGGGUGUGAAAGCCCUGGGCUCAACCCAGGAAGUGCGCUCAAAACCAUUCAUCUAGAGAUCCGGAGGGGAUCGGGGAAUUCCAAGUGUAGAGGUGAAAUUCGUAGAUAUUUGGAAGAACACCGGUGGCGAAAGCGCCGAUCUGGACGGAAUCUGACGCUGAGACGCGAAAGCGUGGGGAGCAAACAGGAUUAGAUA